rnacentral:rRNA from 1 species
UACGGAGGGUGCAAGCGUUGUCCGGAUUUAUUGGGUUUAAAGGGUGCGUAGGCGGCUUCAUAAGUCCGUGGUGAAAGCCAACAGCUCAACUGUUGAACUGCCAUGGAAACUGUGAGGCUUGAGUACAGACGAGGUAGGCGGAAUGGAUCGUGUAGCGGUGAAAUGCAUAGAUACGAUCCAGAACACCGAUUGCGUAGGCAGCUUACUAGGCUGUAACUGACGCUGAGGCACGAAAGCGUGGGGAGCGAACAGG